UCCUCACUUCGAGGACCAAGGUGAGACCUAGCAAAGGGCUCUGACGCCUCUUUUUUUCGCUCUUUAACAAUUUGGAAUGAUCCGUCUAUUGAGGUCCUCGAGGACCUCAAUAAACGUCGCACUGUAUCUAUGCCAUAGGCCUCAGACUUUUUGGGGUUAUAUGGUCAAGCGAAUAAGCGCAUAUGGUGGAUACCUAGGCACACAGAGA
rnacentral:misc_RNA from 1 species